GUGGGUUUGAAUGGGCAGAUCUAUAUGGAGAGUGGAAAAUGCAAUGUGAAAGUGGAGUAAAGGGCAAUUUAGAUAGGAAAAUGGGGAAGGGAUUAGAUGGGAGAAUGGGGCAAAGUAACUUGAAGAGAGAGAGAUUUUAGGAAAGUUUCUGUUUUUGCAAGGAAGUGAGUGAGUGUGAUUUCAGAGAAAGGGCAAGCAGAAGAAGGAACAUGGG
rnacentral:misc_RNA from 1 species